UACGUAGGGGGCAAGCGUUGUCCGGAAUCACUGGGCGUAAAGGGCGCGUAGGUGGCUUGUUAAGCGGGUGGUGAAAGCCUGGGGCUCAACCCCAGGUCUGCCGUGCGAACUGGCAAGCUUGAGCGUAGUAGAGGCAGGUGGAAUUUCGGGUGUAGCGGUGGAAUGCGUAGAUAUCCGAAAGAACACCGGUGGCGAAGGCGGCCUGCUGGGCUACUGCUGACACUGAUGCGCGACAGCGUGGGGAGCAAACAGG
rnacentral:rRNA from 1 species